UACGUAGGGUGCAAGCGUUGUCCGGAAUUACUGGGCGUAAAGGGCUCGUAGGCGGCUCGUUAAGUCAGACGUGAAAGCCCUCGGCUUAACCGGGGAACGGCGUCUGAGACUGGCAAGCUUGAAUCCGGGAGAGGGAUGCGGAAUUCCAGGUGUAGCGGUGAAAUGCGUAGAUAUCUGGAGGAACACCGGUGGCGAAGGCGGCAUCCUGGACCGGUAUUGACGCUGAGGAGCGAAAGCCAGGGGAGCAAACGGG
rnacentral:rRNA from 1 species